AGAAAAAUAGACGGCUAAAAGGAGAGGGCGCAUAUGAGCGUAUAUAGAGUGUCAAAUAAAACUCGGCUUGGGCUCGCGAGCUUCUAGUCUGAGUAUGAUAAAUUUUAAAACGAACUGAGCUCGAAUCUGGAUAACUACUUAACGAGCUGAGCCCAAGCCCGAGCCUGGCUCUAUAAGCAAAAGCUCGACUCGUUUGACCCUAAGCAGAUAUAUAUUGGAGUUAUCUUUGGUGAAGUUUAUUCUAUUGAUAUAUAUCUCUUUUUUAAUAAUGAAUUGACACCUAAUAUUAGAAAAUGUGUGACCAUUUAAUUUUUAGUCAAUAAUAAUAAUAAUUAAAUAUUAACCGACAUACGGGUAAAUUUUCAACUUCAACAUAACUAAUUUUCACCUAAACCGUGUGUAUUUGGGACUUGGAAGAUUAAAUCCUUACACGAUAAUAUUGUUUAUUUUAUAUUAUUAGUAGGUGGGAACGUGGGGUUGGCGUGUCGACCAUAUUGAUUUAUUUAUUUAUUUUAAUUUUAGUUAGUUUGGUAAUUGGGUAAAUGUUAUAUGAAAUCCGUAUUCGAAUUCGAAUAUUUCUAUUUGGAUACCAAAAAAUGAUAUUCGAAAAUUAUCC
rnacentral:lncRNA from 1 species